GUACUUGCUUCGGCAGUACAUGUACUAAAAUUGGAACGGUACAGAGAAGAUUAGCAUGGCCCCUGCGCAAGGAUGACACGCAAAAUCGUGAAGCGUUCCAAAUUUUU
rnacentral:snRNA from 1 species